rnacentral:lncRNA from 1 species
CAUCAAUCAAAACAUCCGCGACGGUUUCUUUCGGUGGAAGCUCAGCUCACUCCCAUAGGCCAUAAACCCUCAAUAAUACUCUCAGCUCAGGUUCGCAAUCUCAGCCCCAUCUCUCUCUUUCUCUCUCUAAAUUUGUAUGUAUUAUGUACAAAAUCAUCAUGUAUACAUAACUAUAUCUGCAUUUGUUUCAUUGCGAUUGAUAUCACUGAUCAAUUUUUUUUGUUGGACAAUUACCGUCUUCUUUUGCUUUCGUAGCUGUGGAGGCUUCACAUUUAUUAGGGCAAUUUGUUGUUGUUGUGAAUUUAAUUUGUAGAAGAUUCUUAAUGUAAUGGUGGGCAGUGGCUAAGUCAGGAAUAAUUUUCAGUUAGGUCAAAAUUAUUACUAAGUUAUAAUUAAUUUGGCCAGAGUUCGGGGGACCCGAGUUAAAUUAUAAUGACAACAUAAUAAAUAAUAAUAAUAACUAAUCACAACUGUUCAUAAGUAAUUAAUUCAUUAAUUAUUUUUAAAAAUAAUAUAAAUUAGAUUAUUAUUUAGUUUAAAAUAUUAUAGAGACAUGUAUAUAUAUUGAGGAUACGAGUUAAAAUUUGAUUGACAAAGUUAUAAAUUUUCAAUUUGAUCCCGUAUAAUAGAAAAUUUAUAAAAUUUUAGUGGGGUCAAUUUAUAUAUAAUACUUAAAUUUUUUAAAAUUUACCUUACAUUAUAAAGCAAUUAUUUUUUUUCAGUGGGGUCAAUUGACCCCACAAUGCUCAUGUAGCUUCGCCCCUGAUGGUGGGGAAGUUAUCACAGUGUGUUCACAUAUUAUGUCCAUAUGAAUGAUGAAUUAGUCAUGCUGUUUUAGUUGUGGGAAACAGUUUAAAUUCAGGCUUUCUUAUCCAGAUUUUAAAAUCGCACUUAUUUUGUAUAAGAUUAACUUAUGAACAUUAUUUUCCCUUUAUUUUUCAACAUUACCAAUUGGAGUGGACUCCAUUAUGUAAGAUAAUAUUCGAAGGAAACAAUUUUUUUACACAAGUUUCAAAAUCUUUGAAAGUUCUUGAAACAACAGUCACACAAGGUGUCCCGGCCCUUCCGGGUUAUGAAUGAGGUAUCAUAUGAGGCUAUGAGUCCACACCACACAUUAUAAUUUAAGGUAUUCUGGAGUGUAUAAAAUACCAAUUAAGGCUUUACAAUCCCUUUGGGCUCAACAUCAUCCCAGGCUUUUGUGUGGUCCAAAGUAUCAUUAACACGUGGCAAACCUGAAGUAAAAUUUGCAUGACUGGUGAUUCCAAUUUGUAGCUGGACUUAUCUUCUCUAAUAUUGAUAUCCACAUGCAUAGGAGGUGUCAAUAUUAAUAUGUUCAAGCUUCCUGCAGUCUCCUAUCCUUUAGAAUGUAGUUAAAGUGGACUCAUGCAUAUUGCAUUUAUUAUAGUUUUCUAGUUGUCUCAAUGCAAAUAACUCAUUUAAUAAGAAUAGUUGGUAAAUGUACAGAUUAUCCUUUUGAACAACCUUAUUUCAUUGAGCUCGCAUAUAAACAGGUUUUUAUGGAUUAUUCCCGAUCUUUUUAUGAACAUCCACCCAAACUGUUUAUGUCGUGGACCGGAGCAUUUCUUUUGCUAACAUAUGCAUUUGUGGUGUAUAUAAAAGUAACCCUGUAAGUGGUCACCGCUACACUGUGCAAGGCGUUCUUUGGCUAAAAUGUUUUCUUAACAUAUAAAGUGUCUAAAUAGUCCCAAUUCAGCCUUUUACAGACGGUUCUUUUACUAGAAGCUCAGUGACACAAACCUCUCUACUCUACUCAGG